rnacentral:rRNA from 1 species
UGGAAACAGGGAGUGCCUUCGGGAGCUUGAGCAGGUGCUGCGUGGCUGUCGUCAGCUCGUGCCGUGAGGUGUCGGGUUAAGUCCCAUAACGAGCGCAACCCUUACCGUUAGUUACCAUCAGGUUAAGCUGGGGACUCUAGCGGGACUGCACCGUAAGGUGAGAGGAAGGUGGGGAUGACGUCAAAUCAGCACGGCCCUUAUGUCCAGGGCUACACACGUGUUACAAUGGCCAGUACAAAGGGCAGCUACCGGGUGACCGGAUGCUAAUCUCUAAAGCUGGUCUCAGUUCGGAUCGAAGUCUGCAACCCGACUUCGUGAAGCUGGAUUCGCUAGUAAUCGCGCAUCAGCCAUGGCGCGGUGAAUACGUUCCCGGGCCUU